CUGCCUAUUAGCGGGGGAUAACUAUUGGAAACGAUAGCUAAUACCGCAUAAUAUUAAUUAUUGCAUGAUAAUUGAUUGAAAGAUGCAAGCGCAUCACUAGUAGAUGGACCUGCGUUGUAUUAGCUAGUUGGUAAGGUAAGAGCUUACCAAGGCGACGAUACAUAGCCGACCUGAGAGGGUGAUCGGCCACACUGGGACUGAGACACGGCCCAGACUCCUACGGGAGGCAGCAGUAGGGAAUCUUCGGCAAUGGACGAAAGUCUGACCGAGCAACGCCGCGUGAGUGAAGAAGGUUUUCGGAUCGUAAAGCUCUGUUGUAAGUCAAGAACGUGUGUGAGAGUGGAAAGUUCACACAGGACGUAGCUACCAGAAAGGCG
rnacentral:rRNA from 1 species